rnacentral:rRNA from 1 species
CACGUAGGAGGCAAACGUUAUCCGGAUUUACUGGGCGUAAAGCGCGUGUAGGUGGUUCUGUAAGUAGGGCGUGAAAGCUCCCGGCUCAACUGGGAGAGGCCGUUCUAUACUGCAGAGCUAGAGGAUGGUAGAGGGAGGUGGAAUUCCAGGUGUAGCGGUGGAAUGCGCAGAUAUCUGGAGGAACACCAGUGGCGAAGGCGGCCUCCUGGACCAUUCCUGACACUCAGACGCGAAAGCUAGGGUAGCAAACGGGAUUAGAUACCCCGGUAGUCCCU